CACAUACACAUAUGGCUCAUCUUCGAUGUGAUCUUCCUCUUCUUGUGGCUUCUCAAAACAGCUUGAAGCCAUCACUCAAGAACAAAAGCUAGAAGUAAAGGUUAGUAACUAUACAAAAGAAAAACAAAGCAAGAAAAUAAAGCUAAGUCUCAAGAAAGAUUGAAAUCCUAAUGAUAAAUCUACUAGUUCCCCGGCAACGGCGCCAAAUUGAUUACGCGUUUAAGCAC
rnacentral:lncRNA from 1 species